UUCCAUGGUAAUCAGCAUUAAACUAAAGCAGAUGGAAUCGACAAAAUGCAUUAAGUUUGUUUCCUUCCACAAAUCCUCCCUGGCCUCUCAAUGGAUCUUCACAAGCCUCAAAGAGCUGUGGAAGGGGCAAUAACUGCUCGACUGGCACUGACAUCAUGAUUGAUUCUCAGUGUAACCUCUUGCCAAGGUGUCAAGAAAUUUGGGCAAUUCGGUAAUUCAACUCAUGAGAAUAUCCAUUACUAUUGAGAAAGAAAAUUUCCAGCGUUACCCCAUAUUUGCAAAAAGUAAUUGAAAUAUUCAUAUGGAAUUGAAAACAUCAAGCUUACUAUCCAGCAUUUUUGAGUAAUCUAAUAGCUUUGCCAGAUGCAGGAAAAUGGAAAUAGAUAGGAACUGAGACAUCAAUAUUUGCUCAGAUUGGGAAUGUUGGAAAUUAUAAGGUGGUGGAAGUGGUUCAUAUGACAGGGUUUAAGAAAAGCAAAGCCGGGGGUCUAGGCUAAGCCAGAAAUCGGGGCAGGUUAGGGAACAGGCACCCAGGGACAUCGUGGAAGAUCAGCUAUUGUGUAGAUGUCAAAGUUUGAUAAUGGGGGCCAAUCAAGAUCACAGAGGGAGGUGUCGAUUGCAAAGAGAGAUGAGUGAUCAACUCAUCAUGGGCAUGUAAAUCAGGUAAGUUAUUGAGCUGGGUGAAAGUGUCCUUUUCUUCCUGGCCCUUAAGCAUUUCUGUAAACAGACUCAACUCUUGAAUCCAAGCAUUCAUCUGAUUUUAUCUACUGAUGUUCCCAACGUAAAGCAAACUCAGCCAAGCUGUUUUAAAAUUCCAAUCAAAAUGGAGUUGUGGUGUCUCUUUUAUAGCUUUUAAUACUUGACCUGCCUACUGAAAGCAAAUUGGUCACUUGCCACCUAACUUACCUGCAAUAACAUGCCAAGCAAGUGUAUUCAGAUUGGCAUUUCUAUUUUACCUUUCACUCAAAUGCCAUCCGUCCAUCCUUGAGGUGAGUAAUACUGCAACUUCUGACUUACAACAUGGAAAACUUCCAAUUUCCAGUUUAUGGAAGUUCUGACUGGAGUUAAAUGCACAAAUACAGUUUCUCCCAAAGAAAGGAGAUAGUUCAGAAUAGAUAGAACACAACAGUGUAUUUAGUUUGGAAGUUCCAAACCAUAAGUGUUUGUGUAGAACUCUGAAAGGGUUAUUUGAAGCUGAGAAUAUCAAAGCUCAAUUGGUUAAGAGUCAAAAACAAUUGUUGAAUGACACAACUGAUAAUGUUUACCUGUGCAAACCUUACAACUUGUUAAAACCUUAUAAUAAGCAUCUUUGGAUAAAAACCCAGAACACUAGUUCAUUUUGUCUUUGGAAUACAUGUCAUUAUAUGAUGACAUACUGAUUUUUGAAGGCUUAAAACAAACUUUCCUAAAGAAUAUUGAUGACUCAUUUGAAACUAGGUAUGACAAAGGCCAUCCAGGUUAACCAACAUCCAACAAACUACAAAUUAGUCUCUGGAGUAAGUGUUAUUGUACUAGCUGAAAAAAAUCCUGUGGUUGAAGAGAAUUAAAGUAUAGCCUUCCUACAGAGAACUGCAUGGUGCAGGCCAUUUAAAAUCAAUGGAAUACUGACUGUAGUCUUAAAAUGUCUAGACCAAUAGUUUAUGGAACAAAUGUAUGUUAUCAAAAGCCAACACUUCUUACUUCUGAGCAGCAAACCAUUUUUUCUUGUAAAAUUCUUUAGUAUGUUGAAGAACCUCAACAAGCUGAGAUAAAAAUACCAGUGAUUAACAAAACUUAACUCUACAAGAGGAAGAUAUCAUAUGCUACGUGGGACUAAUUAUGUAGAUGUUCAACAACUUUCCAUGAGUGAGAGAUCAGAUGACAGUACUGAUUUCACAAGUUUGGUGGAAUUUUUCAAUUAUCUUCCAACAAUGGACAAAUCAUUCUAGAUUUCAUCAUCUGGUGUCCUUCACCCCUCAACUACCAAGAAUUAAUUGUGGACCCUUAAUGUCAUGUCAGCUGUUUCAUAGACUUAAUAGAAUCCCUAUGCUGUGGAAACAGGCCCUCCAGCCCAACAAGUCCACACUGACCCACAGAGCACCCCACCCAGACCCAUUUCCAUAUAAGAGACAAUAGGAACUGCAGAUGCUGGAGAA